rnacentral:lncRNA from 1 species
AGGGUGUCCCAGCUAUUCCAGAAUGAGACCUAGCAAUCUGAUUGGUUGGUGGGGCAUGGGGCGGGGGGACUGGACAUGCAUAGUGCUCUCACCUUAUCCUCCAAAGGAGUCUAUCAGGAUUAAUGUCACACUAAUGAAGCAUUAAAAAUAAUGAAAGGGCAGGCCCUGGAAGGCCUCACUGUGGAGGCUGCUGGGGAAGAGAAUCAAAAGAUGUUCACAGCUGGCUGCCUUGAGAAGGGUCUAGUGGAAGAUGCCAGGGGUCUGGGGUCAGCAAAAAUGGAUCCUUGUCAUGGCUGUUUCAUUAUCUUGCUGGGUGACCUCAGGCUGUCUACCUUCAUGUCCCUGACCUGUGACAAAAACUCAAUGGCACAGAGCAUGUCCACCACGGUGCAG